rnacentral:lncRNA from 1 species
CCGUGUAGCUUCUUCUGUCUCUUUCCUCGCCGCUCGACCCCCUUGUCAUUUCGAACAUGUAAUCCGGAACAGAGGCGAGUGAGAGAGAUCGCCAUGGCGAUUUGGAGCUGCCCCUCGCCUGAUUGGUUUUGUUAAAAGCCUAAUCUGUCGAUUUUGUUCGUCUGAUUUGGUAUGUUCCAUCCCUUUGUUUGUUCCUCAGAUCUGCUUGUUAGUGCUUAGGGUUUUCUCGGUCAGAUCCGUUGCUUGUGUUAAUCUCCCACAUCCUCUGCUGUAGAUGUGUGAGGUUGCGUCGUUUCUGGGAUUGAAACUCGUCUGCCAUGCGAAUUUGAUUAGGCUUUUUGUUUACUUGUUAGUUUGAUUGAUCUGUAUGUGUGUCACGCCUUCACCUGCGUCGGCUAUGAUUAAUCUGUAUGUGUGUCACGCCUUCACCUGCGUCGGCGCCGGUGGACAACGAGUCGCCUGAACUUGAUGAUCCAGACGAUGGCGCAGAACACAACAGUCAGACAUGGUUGCAGAGGGUGAAGCCUCGAGUAGGUGUGGUGGGCUGACUGGUGUGCCCACGUGACAGGGUGUGUGUGCUCUGUAUAUUAGCUGGACAUGCGUGAGUUAAGUCUGAACCGUCUCUCCUGUUCUCUGAACCUCUCCCAACUCUCCUCUCCAUAUCCUAUCCUCCCCAAAUCCCUCUUGUAUUUUGUGAGAUCUAUCAUGAGAUGGGGCAUGACAUUGUGGUUACUUGUUUGAAUUCGGCUGGUUGUUUGGUUGAUCUGUAUGCGAUAUUGUGCAAUCUGAACAUAGUGGAUCGUGUUCAGUCCCCUGCUCUCAAGUGUUGUUAGUUAGUGUAUCUAUGUGUUAAUUUUCCCCUGGGCCGUUUUUUGUUGUCACUGUGUGGAUGUAUGGUUGGUCCCCU